rnacentral:tRNA from 1 species
UGGGGCGUUAGCUCAGUUGGUAGAGCAGCGGACUCUUAAUCCGUAGGUCGAGUGUUCGAGUCACUCACGCCCCACC